ACUGCUAUCUGACCUCUGACUUCUGAUAACUGCUAUCUGACUUCUGAUAACUGCUAUCUGACCUCUGACUUCUGAUAACUGCUAUCUGAAUUUAUUUAUUUAUUUAUUUAUGGAGCUGAAGUCAACACCUGAAGUUUUAAAAGUACAAAUAGCAGAGGAGGACAGACAGACAGUCCUGGAAAACUGUUCCCCACUUUUCUGUCUGUCUGUCUGUCCUCCUUGCAUGUCUCCUGCUCUUGUUCUUUCUUAACUUAUCCAGGACUGUCUCUCUGUCCUCCGUAGGAGGAUUUAAAUACUCGACACAUUACCAUCAACCAAUAGUAAGGUGAAGUUUUCAUAUAUGAGUAUAUGUACGUCAGACACUGUACUGACUGAUUUAUCUGGUCAGGACGUCUCUUUCUGCAGCCCUGAAGAGGCGAGCAGGGCUAGAGGACCAUGAUCCAGACAUUAUCAGAGCAGGACACCAGUGUACGGUAGGAUUGCAGGUUCUUUUGUCUUCAGACACUCUUUGUGAGCAGUGGCAGUGCAGUUUCAUUCCAACCAGUCUGCUGGAGCACCGCCCACCCAGCUGGAGCACC